rnacentral:rRNA from 1 species
UACAGAGGGUGCAAGCGUUGUUCGGAAUUACUGGGCAUAAAGCGCGUGUAGGCUGCAAUCUAAGUCGGAUGUGAAAUCCCUCGGCUCAACCGAGGAAGUGCAUCCGAUACUGGGUCGCUUGAGUGUCGGAGGGGGUGGCGGAAUUCCCGGUGUAGAGGUGAAAUUCGUAGAUAUCGGGAGGAACACCUGUGGCGAAGGCGGCCACCUGGACGACAACUGACGCUGAGACGCGAAAGCGUGGGUAGCAAACAGG